GUAGGGAAUAUUGGACAAUGGGGGGAACCCUGAUCCAGCCAUGCCGCGUGGAGGAAGACUGCCCUCUGGGUUGUAAACUCCUUUUAUAUGGGAAGAACCGUCCUCAUUAAUGAGUGACCUGACGGUACCAUAGGAAUAAGCACCGGCUAACUCCGUGCCAGCAGCCGCGGUAAUACGGUGGGUGCAAGCGUUCUCCGGAUUCACUGGGUUUAAAGGGUGCGUAGGCGGAUAAAUAAGUCAGUGGUGAAAUCAACGGGCUCAACCUGUUAACUGCCAGUGAUACUGUGUAUCUGGAAUAUGAGAGGGGUAGGCGGAAUGUUGAAUGUAGCGGUGAAAUGCUUAGAUAUGCUACGGAACACCGAUUGCGAAGGCAGCUUACUAUUUCGUAAUUGACGCUGAGGCACGAAAGCGUGGGUAGCGAACAGGAUUAGAUACCCCGGUAGUCC
rnacentral:rRNA from 1 species